UGGAAAAAUAUAUAAUAUAUUCCUCUUUUAUUAAUUUAAAAAAAUACAUACAGUUAACGGUGUAUGCAAUAUAUAGCUGUGAUUCAAUGAUUUGGUUGUUUUUUCUUUUCAUGAUUCAUAGAAUAGUUCAAUAGAUAGGAAAAAAAAGAGCGUGUAGCAGACAAAACUUUAAUCACAACCAUUUUUGUAUUUUUUUUCUGCUGAGUGUGAGUGUGUGAGUGGGUUUUUCCUUUUUCAGGUAUUGAUAAAGAGAGGAAAAGCAACUAUUCAGAGAAGGAGGCAUGUAACAUCAAAAAAAGCAAAACAGAUAGACCAAGCAGAAGAUUCUCAGACAGAAUUCAUGGAGGUAAGAAUGACUUUGAUCAAGCUCAGAUUACAGAUGUGUAUAAUUAUAGAAUCUUUGUUGCCACUUGGAAUGUAGCAAGGAAAUCACCUCCAAGUUAUUUGAACCUUGAAGAUUGGCUUCACACCUCUCCACCUGCUGAUAUCUAUGUUCUUGGGUUUCAAGAAAUUGUACCUCUUAUUGCUAGUAACAUUUUGGGAACAGAAGACAAUGGCCCUGCAAGGAAAUGACUUGCUCUUAUUAGGAAGACCCUUAACAGUCUUCCAGGAACAAGUGGUGGAUGCCACACUCCAUCACCACUCUCUGAUCCUAUUAUAGAGAUUGAAGCUGAUUUUGAGGGAUCAAUGAGGAAGAAGACAACCUCUUUACUUAAAAUUAUCUCAAUCUGAAGAAUCGUUGGUGGAGCUGCUGCAAAAUCUCGCAGACAUGGAUAUUACAUUCCAAGGUUGAAGUUUUGGCAAACACCACACAAAAGAUUUCUUAGCCAACCAUACAUCUAUCUUUCCUAGCUCAAGAUAGUUUAUAUUUCAAUAAAUGGUGCCUUGUAUUCUAUUCAGGUAGGUACCUAUCUCAUUCUAUUAUUUUCAAGUAUUUUCUGCAUAAUUAUGUGAAGCUAGUAAAAUACUUUUCCAGUUUUUGAGCUGAAAGGAAUGUAUACUAAAAUGUGAUUGUGUGUUCAGGUUUGUAUUUGGAUAUGCCUUUGGAUAGAUGACAACACUUGUGAUAUUCAUCAGAAAGAUAUUUAUUGCAGUUUUGUACAGGAAUAUGAUCCCUAGUAACUUUACUAUGAAUACAUCUAAUGUGAUGGCUAGUUUGGCCACAGAUCUGCUGGGAUCAGCAUCAAAGACAGAAAACACCAAUUUUCUUGAAUCCGCUUUCUUUUCAGGCCUUCCUGUUUAUUAUCUACAAAAGCAAUGCACAGAGAACUCUACAUUUUCCUUUCCACUCCAGAUAGAAUCCUAUAGUAUACAGCAAGGUUAUAGGAUAUUCGGAUACAGAUGUUGCUGAAUAUCUAUAUAAUUCGAAGCCUGAUGCCAAUUCAUUGUACAAAUAUCUUUGCAAAGACCUUACUAAAGCAUGCGGCACCAAGCCAUCCCCUGUCCCUAAGAAUCCACAGACUUGCUCGUUACUACAAGAAGACCAAGAAACUCCCACCUGUGUGGAAGUAGUAAGUGCCUUUGAACACUAUCAAUUGUUUGAUUUCCCUAAUUGCUUAAUUUGUGAUUACUUUUUGAGAAUAGUAUUCAUCAAUUGGCUUAGUGUGCUAGAACUUUGUAUCUAGUAGAUGGCAAUUUAGCUUGGAUUGUGAUAUAGGUUAACUAUAUGCUAUUUACUGGAUAGCAACUGAUUUCUCUGUCAACGCACUAUUAUAUCUUUUCUAUGCACACAUAGCCAGCUAAUAUAAUCAACAUUUAUAAAUAAUAUAAUCAAACCCAAUUCACACUUAUAACCAAAUUUCUUAAAGAUUAUGUAAUCAAACUAGAUUUUUAUUAUAAUAAAAGAAAAAAAUGUUAUAAAAAAUCAUAGUUUUAAAAGAAGAUUGAAAUUGCUUCACUAUUUGUUCUAUCCUGAGCACGUUGACUAUAUAGGUACCUUCAUGGAAACAAGCUUACUGGUCCAAUACCUGCAGAACUUGGCAACAUGUCGAAAUUGAGCUACUUGUGAGUCUAUUCCUGAUUGUAUAAUCUUGGUCCUCUUUUCACUGCAUGUAAUUAUUUAAAACUAAUUUGUUAUUGUAGGCAAUUAAAUGACAAUCAACUGGUGGUUAGAAUUCCUAAUGAGAUUGGAAAACUUGAACACCUUUUUGAAUUGAAUAUUGCCAACAACCAUCUUGUAGGGUCUAUUCCGCAUAAUAUAAGCUCUUGUACUGCAUUGAAUCAGUUGUAAGAUUUCUGCACGCUGCUAAUGAGUUGUGGAACUUUAAAAUUUA